GAGAUUUGAUCCUGGCUCAGGAUGAACGCUGGCCGGCCGUGCUUACACAUGCAGUCGAACGAAGCGCUUAAACUGGAUUUCUUCGGAUUGAAGUUUUUGCUGACUGAGUGGCGGACGGGUGAGUAACGCGUGGGUAACCUGCCUCAUACAGGGGGAUAACAGUUAGAAAUGACUGCUAAUACCNNAUAAGCGCACAGUGCUGCAUGGCACAGUGUAAAAACUCCGGUGGUAUGAGAUGGACCCGCGUCUGAUUAGCUAGUUGGUGGGGUAACGGCCUACCAAGGCGACGAUCAGUAGCCGGCCUGAGAGGGUGAACGGCCACAUUGGGACUGAGACACGGNCCAAACUCCUACGGGAGGCAGCAGUGGGGAAUAUUGCACAAUGGGGGAAACCCUGAUGCAGCGACGCCGCGUGAGCGAAGAAGUAUUUNGGUAUGUAAAGCUCUAUCAGCAGGGAAGAAAAUGACGGUACCUGACUAAGAAGCACCGGCUAAAUACGUGCCAGCAGCCGCGGUAAU
rnacentral:rRNA from 1 species